ACUCCCAACUUCAGCUAUCUCUAAAUCCCAAAACCAAUAUGACCAGCCCAAACCAUAGCCAACGACCCGGCCCACGAAUCCUUUUAUUCCCCCCACACCUCUCUUGUCCUUUCAUUUUUACAGCAAAAAUCAAACCUUGCCUCCACGCGCCUCUAACGACGCCGCCUCACCUCCACGCGCAAUACCGCUGUCACCGGCCAAAAAUGGCAAACUUUCAACGCGUUUUCUCUUCCUCAGACCUUGCCUCGCUAUUUUGGGCAAGGCCAUUAAUGGGAGCUUGUCCUUUUUUUUUAUUUUUUUUAUUUUUUAUCCUCCAGCUAUUUCCAACGGUAAAAGUUCUUUUCAUCCCUGAUUUUCCCUUUUCUUUUCGAUAUGUUUUCAUUUCCAGGACAAAUUUGAAAUUCGAAUUUCAAAACUCAGCAAAUUUUUCAUUUUGGAAUCCGUCCCACAUCGCUCAAAAUUGGCAAAACCUAGCCUUUUAGGGUUCUAUAAAUAGAACCCCUAUUUCUCAUUUCCAGACAACGGUUGAGACCCCCAAUCUCUGAAUUUUUCAACUACACAACCUCUAAGCUGAGUUUUGAAUUGUCGGAGAAAGUUUAAUAAUUUUGUUUGUUUUUUCUCUCUGUAUUCGCUGGUGAAAUUGCUCUUCGACUCUCGUCAGUCGCUGCUCCAUAACAGAUCGAGUCAACCUCUAUCCUCACUAAAUGAAGAACGGACCUGGGCCAAGCCCGAAUGCAAUCCCCAGAUGCAUAGUAGCAGUUCAAAGGCGGAGAUGGGCCCCGAGCCCAUAAGUUUGAUUUUUCUCUCUAUCUAUAUUAUGCUAGUUAUCUGCUGAAUUUGAUUGUAAAGCCUACUAACAUUUUACUUUGUUCUUACUUUUCUGACCAGAUGUUAUCCCAGCAGAGUGUGAAAGUGGUAGUCGCCAAAACGAUUAAUUGAUUCUCUUAUGCUAGCGUUGGUAUAACAGUUGCAAAAAAUGUAGAAAAAUCAAGGAAAUGCUUUUCCAAAAUGGUUUAGAUGUUUGUUGGAUUAAAAUCCAAUGCUGAAGUCACGUUUUUCUUGUUAAAAAAUAAAGGUAACUGUGAGUCAUUUUGAAACAUCGCGUGUUUCAGCAAACAGUGUGUUCAAAUGAUUUUUAUCAUCAAGUUUUUUGGGGG